rnacentral:rRNA from 1 species
GACGAACGCUGGCGGCGUGCCUAAUACAUGCAAGUCGAGCGAAGUGGAGAGAGCUUGCUCUCAAAGCUUAGCGGCGAACGGGUGAGUAACACGUGGGCAACCUGCCUGACAGACCGGGAUAACUUGGGGAAACUCAAGCUAAUACCUGAUAGGAUCUCGAAUCGCAUGGUUUGAGAUGGAAAGUCUGAACGACACUGGCAGAUGGGCCCGCGGCGCAUUAGCUAGUUGGUGGGGUAAUGGCCUACCAAGGCGACGAUGCGUAGCCGACCUGAGAGGGUGACCGGCCACACUGGGACUGAGACACGGCCCAGACUCCUACGGGAGGCAGCAGUAGGGAAUCUUCCACAAUGGACGAAAGUCUGAUGGAGCAACGCCGCGUGAGUGAUGAAGGUUUUCGGAUCGUAAAACUCUGUUGUUAGGGAAGAACACCCGGGAGAGGAUCCCGGAUUGACGGUACCUGACGAGAAAGCCCCGGCUAACUACGUGCCAGCCGCCGCGGUAAUAC